GACGAACCGUGCGAACGUUGUUCGGAAUCACUGGGCUUAAAGGGCGCGUAGGCGGGUUCCCAAGUCCGGGGUGAAAUCUUUCGGCUCAACCGGAAAAUAGCCUUGGAUACUGGGAGGCUCGAGGGAGGUAGUGGCAGCGGGUACUUCCGAUGGAGCGGGGUAAUGCGUUCUUAUCGGAAGGAAGGGCGGUGGCGAAAGCGCGCUGCUGUACCUCUGCUGACGCGGAGGCGCGAAAGCCAGGGGAGUAAACGGG
rnacentral:rRNA from 1 species